rnacentral:rRNA from 1 species
AUAAGGGCAUUCGGUGGAUGCCUUGGCACCAGGAGGCGAUGAAAGACGUGGCACGCUGCGAAAAGCCAUGGGGAGCCGCGAGCAGGCUUUGAUCCGUGGAUAUCUGAAUGGGGCAACCCACCCAGCGAUGGGUAUCAUGUUCUGAAUACAUAGGGACAUGAGGCGAACCCGGGGAACUGAAACAUCUAAGUACCCGGAGGAAAAGACAUCAAUUGAGAUUCUGCUAGUAGUGGCGAGCGAACGCGGAACAGGCCAGUGGCUGUUUUUGAAGAAGCAGAACGGAAUGGAAAGUCCGGCCAGAGCGGGUGAUAGCCCCGUAUGCGUAGUGUCAGGAACAGUCCUUGAGUAGGGCGGGACACGUGAAAUCCUGUCUGAACAUGGGGGGACCACCCUCCAAGCCUAAAUACUCCCUGGUGACCGAUAGUGAACAAGUACCGUGAGGGAAAGGUGAAAAGCACCCCGACGAGGGGAGUGAAAGAGACCUGAAACCGAAUGCCUACAAGCAGUCGGAGCCUCUUAUGGGGUGACGGCGUACCUUUUGUAUAAUGGGUCAGCGAGUUUCUGUUUGCAGCAAGCUUAAGCCGUUAGGUGUAGGCGCAGCGAAAGCGAGUCUGAAUAGGGCGACGAGUUGCUGGCAGAAGACCCGAAACCGAGUGAUCUAGCCAUGGCCAGGCUGAAGGUGCGGUAACACGCACUGGAGGGCCGAACCCACGCCUGUUGAAAAAGUCGGGGAUGAGCUGUGGCUAGGGGUGAAAGGCCAAUCAAACUCGGAAAUAGCUGGUUCUCCGCGAAAUCUAUUGAGGUAGACCGUCGAGUAUUACCCCGGGGGGUAGAGCACUGGAUGGGCUAGGGGGGCCCAAAGCCUUACCAAACCUAACCAAACUCCGAAUACCCGGAAGUAUGAGCUCGGCAGACAGACAGUGGGUGCUAAGGUCCAUUGUCGAGAGGGAAACAGCCCAGACCACCAGCUAAGGCCCCCAAAUCGUGGCUAAGUGGGAAAGGAUGUGAGGAUUCCAAAACAACCAGGAGGUUGGCUUAGAAGCAGCCAUCCUUUAAAGAAAGCGUAAUAGCUCACUGGUCUAAUAGAAACCUUGCGCCGAAAAUGUAACGGGGCUCAAGCCACGUGCCGAAGCUGUGGGUGCAUUCUAUGAAUGCGCGGUAGCGGAGCGUUCCGUAGGUCUGUGAAGGAGACGGGGUGACCCUCUCUGGAGAUAUCGGAAGUGCGAAUGCUGACAUGAGUAGCGACAAACAGUGCGAGAAACACUGUCGCCGAAAGUCCAAGGGUUCCUGCGCAAGGUUAAUCCGCGCAGGGUGAGCCGGCCCCUAAGGCGAGGGCGAAAGCCGUAGUCGAUGGAAACCGGGCAAAUAUUCCCGGGCCUGCCAGAAGUGACGAAUACAAUAUGUUGUCGGGUCUUAUCGGAUUGAUCCGGCUUUUGGAGUAUUCCAGGAAAUAGCUCUGGCAUAUAGACCGUACCCGAAACCGACACAGGUGGACUGGUAGAGAAUACCAAGGCGCUUGAGAGAACGAUGCUGAAGGAACUAGGCAAAUUACUUGCGUAACUUCGGGAUAAGCAAGACCCGUCAGUGGGCAACCAUCGGCGGGUGGCACAGACCAGGGGGUAGCGACUGUUUAGUAAAAACACAGGGCUGUGCGAAGUCGAGAGACGACGUAUACGGCCUGACGCCUGCCCGGUGCCGGAAGGUUAAGAGGAGGUGUGCAAGCACCGAAUUGAAGCCCCGGUAAACGGCGGCCGUAACUAUAACGGUCCUAAGGUAGCGAAAUUCCUUGUCGGGUAAGUUCCGACCUGCACGAAUGGCGUAACGACUUCCCCGCUGUCUCCAGCAUCGGCUCAGCGAAAUUGAAUUCCCCGUGAAGAUGCGGGGUACCCGCGGUCAGACGGAAAGACCCUAUGAACCUUUACUGCAGCUUUGCAGUGGCAUCAGAGACAUUCUGUGUAGGAUAGGUGGGAGGCUUUGAAACCGGGGCGCCAGUUCCGGUGGAGCCAUCCUUGAAAUACCACCCUGACUGUUUCUGAUGUCUAACCGAGGCCUGUUAGCCAGGUCCGGGACCCUGCAUGGUGGGCAGUUUGACUGGGGCGGUCGCCUCCCAAAGUGUAACGGAGGCGCGCGAUGGUGGGCUCAGGCCGGUCGGAAACCGGCUGUCGAGUGCAAUGGCAUAAGCCCGCCUGACUGUGAGAGUGACAGCUCGAUCAGAGACGAAAGUCGGCCAUAGUGAUCCGGUGGUCCCGCGUGGAAGGGCCAUCGCUCAACGGAUAAAAGGUACUCUAGCAGCCUGUCGGGUUGGGGUACCCUGUGAAGGGGUAAGGCUGUAGAGUGUCGCGAUGAGCCGCUUCAUCCCGUUUGACCGAUCCCAGCCGUAUCUUCUGCCGCCUGAUCUGACGUCGUGGCUUCCGGCUGACGAUAUGGCGCAUUUCAUUGUCGCAGCUGUUGAGCGGGUUCCGAUGAGUGCGUUCUGCGUGCCAGUGCGCACGGGAGGCAAGGCGCAGUAUCAUCCGCGCCUGAUGCUGGCCCUUCUGAUCUUCAGCUAUGCGAACGGGUUGUUUUCCUCACGCCGGAUCGAGCGGGCGACAUAUCGCGACAUCGGGGUACGCUUCGUGGCGGCGAACCUGCAUCCGGAUCAUGAUACGAUUGCGACCUUCCGCCGGACGAA